AUCCUCAUUUCCUCUCUUUUUUACAUUUCUGCCUGCCUUUCUGGUGUGCCCUUGACUUGCAUCCCUCUUUGAAUCAAGGACUUUCUUGAGAAAAGGGAUCCUAUCUCAUCCAAUCUGAGUAACAUAGAAACACUCAUUACCAGACCAUACCCACAGAGGGGGCGGGGGGCGGGGGACAGAUGCCUAUGUCUUUCAAAGACAGACAAUACAUUCCUGUUUUCAAGCACCUGGGAAAUUUUCCCCCAACCAAUUUCCAGUUAAAGAGUGUGUUUGCGUUGCUGAAAUGGAAGCUGUUUUAAAGAUAGGAAUAGCGGUGAAAAUGAGAAAAACCAGUCCUCAGAAGCAUCCUUCUGAAUGGAGCCCUCCCACAGCAUUCAGAAGUCCUCAGUGAUCCUGACAAGUUGUCAGUGACCUGAUUAUUUCUGCAGAGGAAAGAAAAAAGGGUGACUUAGAAAUAAUAUAAAGAAUGCUUAGAGAAAUCCGCACAUUUAUUUUCUUUUUUAAGCUUACUCUUUUCAAUUCCUAAUCUCAUCAUAUUUGUGGACAAAGAAAAGGGUGAAAAGGGAAUUUAAAUGGCUACAUGAUGUGCAGGCUGAUUAAAGGUGAGAGCCGGAUCUGCCGGCAAUUGACAAGAGAUCCUGUGGUCGUUUAUUUAAUUGGACUCUGACUGACAAGGAGGCAUGGUCAGACUAUGGCGCACCAUUGUGGGAAAACACAUUCUCAUUUGCUUGACCCAUACUUCUCAGAGCAUAGCUUCUUCAGAUGUUCUGGAUAAAAGGAGCCUGAGAAAGCCUUUUUGACUCUUUGCCAUCUUCAUAGAACAGUGUUCUGUAACACCACUGCCACCUCCAGAUCUUCAACAACCUCUUAGCUGACAAGAUUUUGGAAAUCAAGGCAGGUAAGCAAUGUAUUGAAAAACGGUGCCAACUGGGCUCUGAACAGAAGAAGCUGGAGAUGUUUGGUGCCUUCGGUGUUUUGUCAUUGUUGACUCCGUUUUAGAUUUCCUCAAAAAUCCAGUGUAAUUUACAGGGUAAGAAAGCAAGCAGGGAUUUGAGGCCAUGAAUAAAGAUAUGCACACCGCUACACCUAAACAUGAGCAGAUGGCAGGAGAGACACAGAUGCCAACAAGGCGAGGGAAACAUUGACAGUGUUCUUGUUGCCUUCAAAACUAAGCUCAGAAACUCACAGGCAAUAAUUGUGACUUUUCAGCCAAGUAACCAAGUGAAUAGUAAGAGAAUGAAUGAACACUUAGGAGAAAAGAUGUCUUAAAACAAGCCACUCUACCAUAUUAGAAUUAAACUAUGCCAGCUGAUUAAAGAUGCUGUCAUUUUGUAAAGUCAAACAAAAGUAAAUCAAACAUAUUUGGGGUGUUCAAAAUUGCCAUAAAAUAAACAUAAAUAAUUCUGAAAA